rnacentral:rRNA from 1 species
CUGAAUAGGGCGCAUAAGUAACAGGUCGUAGACCCGAAACCAGGUGAUCUACCCAUGUCCAGGAUGAAGGUAAGGUAAUACUUACUGGAGGUCCGAACCCACGCACGUUGAAAAGUGCGGGGAUGAGGUGUGGGUAGCGGAGAAAUUCCAAUCGAACUUGGAGAUAGCUGGUUCUCUCCGAAAUAGCUUUAGGGCUAGCCUCGAGGUAAAGAGUCAUGGAGGUAGAGCACUGUUUGGACUAGGGGCCCUUCUCGGGUUACCGAAUUCAGAUAAACUCCGAAUGCCAUGUACUUAUACUCGGGAGUCAGACUGCGAGUGAUAAGAUCCGUAGUCGAAAGGGAAACAGCCCAGACCACCAGUUAAGGUCCCCAAAUAUAUGUUAAGUGGAAAAGGAUGUGGGGUUGCUUAGACAACCAGGAUGUUGGCUUAGAAGCAGCCACCAUUGAAAGAGUGCGUAAUAGCUCACUGGUCGAGUGACCCCGCGCCGAAAAUGUACCGGGGCUAAACAUAUUACCGAAACUGUGGAUGAACCUCUUUAGAGGUUCGUGGUAGGAGAGCGUUCUAAGGGCGGUGAAGUCAGACCGGAAGGACUGGUGGAGCGCUUAGAAGUGAGAAUGCCGGUAUGAGUAGCGAAAGAAGGGUGAGAAUCCCUUCCACCGAAUAUCUAAGGUUUCCUGAGGAAGGCUCGUCCGCUCAGGGUUAGUCGGGACCUAAGCCGAGGCCGAUAGGCGUAGGCGAUGGACAACAGGUAGAGAUUCCUGUACCAGUGCUAAUUGUUUAACCGAUGGGGUGACACAGAAGGAUAGGGAAUCGCACGAAUGGAAAUGUGCGUCCAAGCAGUGAGUGUGAGAAGUAGGCAAAUCCGCUUCUCGCGAAGCAUGAGCUGUGAUGGGGAAGGAAAUUAAGUACGGAAGUUCCUGAUUUCACGCUGUCAAGAAAAGCCUCUAGGAAGAGUAGUACUGCCCGUACCGCAAACCGACACAGGUAGAUGAGGAGAGAAUCCUAAGGUGAGCGAGAGAACUCUCGUUAAGGAACUCGGCAAAAUGACCCCGUAACUUCGGGAGAAGGGGUGCUCUAUUAGGGUGCAAGCCCGAGAGAGCCGCAGUGAAUAGGCCCAGGCGACUGUUUAGCAAAAACACAGGUCUCUGCAAAACCGUAAGGUGACGUAUAGGGGCUGACGCCUGCCCGGUGCUGGAAGGUUAAGAGGAGUGCUUAGCUUCGGCGAAGGUACGAAUUGAAGCCCCAGUAAACGGCGGCCGUAACUAUAACGGUCCUAAGGUAGCGAAAUUCCUUGUCGGGUAAGUUCCGACCCGCACGAAAGGCGCAACGAUCUGGGCACUGUCUCAACGAGAGACUCGGUGAAAUUAUAGUACCUGUGAAGAUGCAGGUUACCCGCGACAGGACGGAAAGACCCCGUGGAGCUUUACUGCAACCUGAUAUGGAAUGUUUGUACCGCUUGUACAGGAUAGGUAGGAGCCGAAGAGACGUGUGCGCUAGCAUACGAGGAGGCAAUGGUGGGAUACUACCCUGGCUGUAUGACCAUUCUAACCCGCCACGCUUAG